GAAAGGUGAGCUAAUACCGGAUGUGACUUUCGACAGGCAUCUGUUGAAAUUCAAAGCUGGGGAUCUUCGGACCUGGCGCUUCAGGAUGGGCCCGCGGCCUAUCAGCUAGUUGGUGAGGUAAAAGCUCACCAAGGCAGAGACGGGUAGCUGGUCUGAGAGGACGAUCAGCCACACUGGAACUGAGACACGGUCCAGACACCUACGGGUGGCAGCAGUCGAGAAUCUUUCACAAUGGGCGAAAGCCUGAUGGAGCGACGCCGCGUGGGGGAUGAAGGUCUUCGGAUCGUAAACCCCUGUCAUCUGGGAGCAAACCUGCUCUGCUAAUACCGGAGCAGUUGAGAGUACCAGAAGAGGAAGGGACGGCUAACUCUGUGCCAGCAGCCGCGGUAAUACAGAGGUCCCAAGCGUUGUUCGGAUUCACUGGGCGUAAAGGGUGCGUAGGCGGUCGGGUAAGUCUGAUGUGAAAUCUUCGAGCUCANCUCGGAAACUGCAUCGGAUACUACCUGGCUAAAGAAU
rnacentral:rRNA from 1 species